rfam:Lucilia cuprina strain LS Scaffold140, whole genome shotgun sequence.
CAAAAGGCCUUUCUUAAGGCCUUCUAAUUGAUUACUGUAGAUUUUC